CCUACGGGGGGCAGCAGUAGGGAAUAUUGCUCAAUGGGGGAAACCCUGAAGCAGCAACGCCGCGUGGAGGAUGAAGGUUUUCGGAUUGUAAACUCCUUUUGUUAGAGAAGAUAAUGACGGUAUCUAACGAAUAAGCACCGGCUAACUCCGUGCCAGCAGCCGCGGUAAUACGGAGGGUGCAAGCGUUACUCGGAAUCACUGGGCGUAAAGAGUGCGUAGGCGGGAUAGCAAGUCAGAUGUGAAAUCCUAUGGCUUAACUACAGAACUGCAUUUGAAACUGUUACUCUAGAGUGUGGGAGAGGUAGGUGGAAUUCUUGGUGUAGGGGUAAAAUCCGUAGAGAUCAAGAGGAAUACUCAUUGCGAAGGCGACCUGCUAGAACAUAACUGACGCUGAUGCGCGAAAGCGUGGGGAGCAAACAGGAUUAGAUACCCCGGUAGUC
rnacentral:rRNA from 1 species